CUCUCUCCCUCUCGCGCACUCUCCCUCUCCCUCUCCCUCUCCCUCAUGGAGAAUCCAGAGGUUUGAAAUUGGGAUAUUUGUGAGAGAAACUUAGAGAUUCAAGGAGUUUCUGUGUAGCGAAGCUCUCUGCGGCUUUAAUGGCGAACCUGCCGCAUCCUUAUGCAAUUCUUUGAAGGGAAUGCUUGCAGAUUUCAGAUCUCUCGUUUCUUCUUUUAAAGGCUGGGGACCAGCUGAUGCAAUCAAUGCCAGGUGGAGUUUGUGAUUCAAGUAGUUAACCAUUUCAAAGACUAAAGCCACCUUCAUUUUUCUUGGAAACUUUUGUGGAGGAAUUGUAAAGCUGUGGAGAAUAUGUACAGUUUACUCAGUUUCCUGUAUCAGUUACACAAAGGAGCUGCUCAUUGUCACAGCCAUGAAGUGUGCUACACAGGUUAACUUUUUGUUGGUUAUUCACUGCUGCAAUUCAAUGCCUGAAGAGAAAAAAGCUAUAUUAAUCGCAGGUGGAGCAGCUUGGGAACUUCCAAUUAUGAUUAUACUUGAAGGUGCAAAGGCAACAACAGAAACUGUAGAUGCUCUGAGGACAGGAGCAUCAGCAAUGAAGUCUAUCCAGAUCUCCUUGCAAGUUAAAUCCUCACCAUCAAAAUUCUCAACACCCAUAUCACAGAUAGUAAUUGGCUAGGGGGUGGAAUUCAUCAAGUAGUUGUAGGAUGGAGGAGUUUAAAAUUCAUCAAGACUCCUCUUCUAAUCCAUCACAUUUAAAGAUUCUAUUCCUUUUUGUUAUUUUGUUUUGUAUUUCCAUUAUC